AGGAUACUCUCUUUGUUUGUGUGUUUUUUUAAGUUUAAUUAUUCUAAUAAUCUCCAUAGUUUUACUAAUUAUGUGAUUAGAUUUUUAUAGUUUAAAAAUUUGUAAUUAGAUCUUUAUAUUAGGUAAAAAUUUGUAAUUAAAUCUUUAUUAUUGAUUAUUUUUCAGAAUAAAACACGCUAAUGCUAAAAUAUUUGCUUUUAGAAUAUUCCAUAUUCAUUCUACAUCAAACACAAAAUCAAAUAUUUAAAAUAAAAUUGAUUUUUCAACAAAAAAUAGUUAAAAAAGACCCAAUAGAAUAGCAAGUUUUUAUUUAAUUUAGAGAAUCAAUAACAAACUUUUAGACGAAAAGAAUCUAAUUAAAAUUUUGAUGAAAUUAUGAAGACCAACAGAAUAAUUAAUUUUUUUUAAAAACUAAGUAGAUCUUAGAUUUCUUCGCUAAAUUUGGUUGUUGCUCUACUAAUAGGCUUAUUUUAUUAUUUUUUAUUCCCCAUUACUAUUUUAUGAUUCUGUUUUGUCACUGUUAUUAUUAUUGCUUUCCAUGCUGAAAACCUUACAGAAGAGAGAGUUGAUGAAGUGUUGAAUGAAUUUCUGAAAGAUAUCAAAGAAGGAAGAAGGUGCUGCUAGUGCUGUCAAAAUAGCAUUGCUUUCAAAUGCCUCUUCUGGCCUUUUCUAUUCUCAGAAUGAAGUUUCUUCAUUCUAAUCCAAUUGAGUUGAGCAAAACUGU